GGCUGUGAGCACCAUGGCCUGGACUCCUCUGCUCCUCGCGCUCCUCUCUCACUGCACAGGGUCCCUCUCCCAGCCGGUGCUGACUCAGCCGCCCUCCCUCUCUGCAUCUCUGGGAGCCACAGCCAGACUCACCUGCACCCUGAGCAGUGGCUUCAAUGUUGGCAUAUACAGGAUAACCUGGCACCAGCAGAAGCCAGGGAGCCCUCCCCGGUACCUCCUGAAUUACUACUCAGAUUCAGAUAAGGGCCAAGGAUCCGGGGUCCCCAGCCGCUUCUCUGGAUCCAAAGACGCCUCGGCCAAUGCAGGGCUCCUGCUCAUCUCGGGGCUGCAGCCUGAGGACGAGGCUGACUAUUACUGUGCUGCAUAUCAUAGCAAUGGUCACAGUGAUUCAGAUGACGAGGAAUUAAAGGGCCAGUUCCACAAGCAGAAGCCAGGGAGCCGUCCCCGGUUUCUCCUGGAAUAUAAAUCAGACUCAAGUAAGAACCAGGGUUUCGGGGUCCCCAGCCGCUUCUCUGGAUCCAAAGACGUCUCGGCCAAAGCGGGGGUCCUUCUCAUCUCGGGGCUGCAGCCUGAGGACGAGGCUGAGUAUUUCUGUGCUGCAGAACAUGGCAGUGGGAGCAGCUUUAGUCACGCACAGCGUCUCAGAUGA